GAAAGCAGCAUGGGGACUAAUUGGGAAGAGGAUCAGUGAGAAUGGGAGGGGGAAAAGGAGGGUAGUAGGAAGUGUGAGAUGAUAAAUAUUGUAUCCAUCUACGAAAAUGUCAGAUUGAAGCCCAUUGUUAUGUAAGUAUGCAUGACAUAUAAGAGCAAAGAAGACUCCUAAAUAUCCAUAGCAAUACAAAGCACUGUUGGAGGUUCCAUAAUUCCUGAUGUCAAAUCACACUAGAGCCGUAGUAAUAGAAUAAUCAUAUUCCUGGCACAAAAGCAGACAUGUAACCAAUACAGUAGAAAAUAGAACUCAGAAAUAAAUUCAUACAGCUGUAGCCACCUGAUUUUUUUUUUUUUUACAAACGUCAAAAAUCAUAUAUUGGGAAAGAAGUAAACUCUUCAGUAAAUGAUGCUGAGAACAGUAAAUAUCAGGACACCAAAUGGUAAAACUAGAGCCCUUUACAAAGAUCAGCUGCAAAUGGCUCACAGACCUUAGCAGGUCCUGACAGAGCCUAAAACCUCGAAACUGCCAGUGGAAAAUCCAGGCAAUGUAUUUCAAGAUACAGAUAUGGGAAGGAAUCCAACUACACAGGGCAGAUCUGAGAACUGGCAAGUAUGAGUAUGUGAAGUCAAGCAGCUUCUGCAAGACAAAGCAUCUUCAUGGCAAAUAGGCCCCUAUGCAAGGGAAGAAGUCUGUUCCAGCCAUUCAUCUGCUAGGAGAUCAAUGUAUUCACACAGAGCUACAAAACUUCAACAUGAGUGCUCCUUACAAAUCAUCCAGUUUGAGAAAUGGGCUAAUAAAAUGAACUGACAGUUCUCAAAAGAAGUAAGAGUAGGCAAUAAGCAUUUGAAAAUGUGUUCAAAACUCUUACCCAUCAGGGAGAACAAAUUAUAACUACUUGCAUUUCAUCUCUAGAAAACAAACAAAAAAUGCUGCUGAGGAUGUGGGGAGAGGAGACUCGUAGACAUUGCUGGUGGGAGUGUAACCUGCUGCAACUACUGUGUUAGUAUGCGGUUUCCUCCAAAACUGAAAAUACAACUACCAUGGGACCCAGCUGUAUCUCCUCUGGGUGUUUACCCAAAAGACUCCAAGUCAACAUGCAACAGAGAUACCUGCACAUGUUUUUUGCUGCUCCAUUCAUAGUAGCUAAGCCAUGGGACCAGCCCUGUACAUCUGUUCACCCAUGAGUACAUAAAGAAUAUAUGGCUAACAUACACAGUGGAGUUUAUUCAUCCAUGACAAAACAAAAAUGAAAUCAUAACAUUUUCAGGAAUGUAGAUGGAGUAGGAGUUCCUGGUAUGCAAAAUAAACUGGACAGACCAAACUUAUGUUUAUUCAGUUACAUGAUGUUAUUGUGCUAUUUGAACAACAGGAAGAACAAGAAAACUCAGAGAAGAGUUUCCAGAGAUGGGAUUUAAAGAGGAAGAACCAAAGAUUCGAGAUCAAAAGCAAGGACUCGGUUGGAUUUUUAUUCCCCAGUGUGUAACAAGGCCAAACACCCAAUAUGUAG